UGGGGAAUAUUGCACAAUGGGCGAAAGCCUGAUGCAGCAACGCCGCGUGAGCGAUGAAGGCCUUUGGGUCGUAAAGCUCUGUCCUAGGGGAAGAAUAAAUGACGGUACCCUUGGAGGAAGCCCCGGCUAACUACGUGCCAGCAGCCGCGGUAAUACGUAGGGGGCAAGCGUUAUCCGGAAUUAUUGGGCGUAAAGAGUGCGUAGGUGGUUUUGUAAGCGCGGGGUGAAAGGCAAUAGCUCAACUAUUGUAAGCCCUGCGAACUGUGAGACUUGAGUGCAGGAGAGGAAAGCGGAAUUCCUAGUGUAGCGGUGAAAUGCGUAGAUAUUAGGAGGAACACCGGUGGCGAAGGCGGCUUUCUGGACUGUAACUGACACUGAGGCACGAAAGCGUGGGGAGCAAACA
rnacentral:rRNA from 1 species